GAUGAACGCUGGCGGCGUGCCUAAAACAUGCAAGUCGAGCGGUAAGGCCCCUUCGGGGGUACACGAGCGGCGGACGGGUGAGUAACACGUGGGAAUCUACCCCAAACUGAGGGAUAAGCACCGGAAACGGUGUCUAAUACCGCAUAUGGUCUUCGGAUUAAAGCUUCGGCGGUUUGGGAAGAGCCCGCGCAAGAUUAGCUAGUUGGUAAGGUAAUGGCUUACCAAGGCGACGAUCUUUAGCUGGUUUGAGAGGAUGAUCAGCCACACUGGAACUGAGACACGGUCCAGACUCCUACGGGAGGCAGCAGUUAGGAAUCUUCCACAAUGGGCGAAAGCCUGAUGGAGCAACGCCGCGUGCAGGAUGAAUGCCUUCGGGUUGUAAACUGCUUUUAUGUGCGAAGAGUAUGACGGUAACACGUGAAUAAGGAUCGGCUAACUCCGUGCCAGCCGCCGCAGUAA
rnacentral:rRNA from 1 species